rnacentral:rRNA from 1 species
AUUGAACGCUGGCGGCAGGCCUAACACAUGCAAGUCGAACGGUAACAGGAAGAAGCUUGCUUCUUUGCUGACGAGUGGCGGACGGGUGAGUAAUGUCUGGGAAACUGCCUGAUGGAGGGGGAUAACUACUGGAAACGGUAGCUAAUACCGCAUAACGUCGCAAGACCAAAGAGGGGGACCUUCGGGCCUCUUGCCAUCGGAUGUGCCCAGAUGGGAUUAGCUAGUAGGUGGGGUAACGGCCCACCUAGGCGACGAUCCCUAGCUGGUCUGAGAGGAUGACCAGCCACACUGGAACUGAGACACGGUCCAGACUCCUACGGGAGGCAGCAGUGGGGAAUAUUGCACAAUGGGCGCAAGCCUGAUGCAGCCAUGCCGCGUGUAUGAAGAAGGCCUUCGGAUUGUAAAGUACUUUCAGCGGGGAGGAAGGGAGUAAAGUUAAUACCUUUGCUCAUUGACGUUACCCGCAGAAGAAGCACCGGCUAACUCCGUG